rnacentral:rRNA from 1 species
UACGUAGGGGGCAAGCGUUGUUCGGAAUUACUGGGCGUAAAGCGCACGUAGGCGGAUUGCUAAGUCAGGGGUGAAAUCCUGGAGCUCAACUCCAGAACUGCCUUUGAUACUGGCGAUCUUGAGUCCGGGAGAGGUGAGUGGAACUGCGAGUGUAGAGGUGAAAUUCGUAGAUAUUCGCAAGAACACCAGUGGCGAAGGCGGCUCACUGGCCCGGUACUGACGCUGAGGUGCGAAAGCGUGGGGAGCAAACAGG